UCUAUUAAAAUAAAAGCAGCUAAUUUCAUAUUAUUUGCCGAGUAACCUUGAUUACUGCAUACUGUGUAAGGAGAUGCAUUUUUAUAAACGCAGAAAUGCAAAUAAAUAACAUUUAUGUGGAAAGUC